GAUGAACGCUGGCGGCGUGCUUAACACAUGCAAGUCGAACGAUGAACCUGUGCUUGCACGGGGGAUUAGUGGCGAACGGGUGAGUAACACGUGAGUAACCUGCCCUUGACUUCGGGAUAAGCCUGGGAAACUGGGUCUAAUACUGGAUACGACCUCUCAUCGCAUGGUGUGGGGGUGGAAAGUUUUUGCGGUUUUGGAUGGACUCGCGGCCUAUCAGCUUGUUGGUGAGGUAAUGGCUCACCAAGGCGACGACGGGUAGCCGGCCUGAGAGGGUGACCGGCCACACUGGGACUGAGACACGGCCCAGACUCCUACGGGAGGCAGCAGUGGGGAAUAUUGCACAAUGGGCGAAAGCCUGAUGCAGCGACGCCGCGUGAGGGACGACGGCCUUCGGGUUGUAAACCUCUUUCAGUAGGGAACAAGGCAUCAUUUUUGUGGUGUUGAGGGUACUUGCAGAAGAAGCACCGGCUAACUACGUG
rnacentral:rRNA from 1 species